rnacentral:lncRNA from 1 species
AAUGACAAGAGGUAGCAUAGGGAGGCCAAGGGGGACUAGAGGAGUUCGUCGAACAAGAGCUACAAUAGAUGACACAGGUGGGAGUGCAAAGGGGACUAGAGGGCGUGAUCGAUCAAGGGCUAGAACAUAUAACACAAGAGGGAGCACAACAGGACAUGGUCGAAGAAGGGGUGCAAGAAAUGAAAUAGAAGAGAUGGGUAGCAGAACAACAGGUGGCUCUGCCUUUGCAUUUUGCCCAAGAAUAAAUGGCAAUCCUGCUCAAAAUCUAGCCAUGGUGGAGGUUGACAUGACUUUGGAUGCACCAACAGAUGACAUGAGUCACCAACAUUCUCAAGCAUGAUUCCUUCAAUAGAGAAUCGUUGCUUUGAGAAGUGCUAAAUUUGGUUUUAAGGCUUGCUAUCAUUUUGUUCUAGAAUUGUGCUUGUAGAGACCUAGAAUUAUGCGAUAUUAUUUGAUUAUUUCCUUUCAAUUUAUUUAAGUUUGGA